AAGAGUUUGAUCAUGGCUCAGAUUGAACGCUGGCGGCAGGCCUAACACAUGCAAGUCGAACGGUAACAGGAAGAAGCUUGCUUCUUUGCUGACGAGUGGCGGACGGGGGAGUAAUGUCUGGGAAACUGCCUGAUGGAGGGGGAUAACUACUGGAAACGGUAGCUAAUACCGCAUAACGUCGCAAGACCAAAGAGGGGGACCUUCGGGCCUCUUGCCAUCGGAUGUGCCCAGAUGGGAUUAGCUUGUUGGUGGGGUAACGGCUCACCAAGGCGACGAUCCCUAGCUGGUCUGAGAGGAUGACCAGCCACACUGGAACUGAGACACGGUCCAGACUCCUACGGGAGGCAGCAGUGGGGAAUAUUGCACAAUGGGCGCAAGCCUGAUGCAGCCAUGCCGCGUGUAUGAAGAAGGCCUUCGGGUUGUAAAGUACUUUCAGCGGGGAGGAAGGGAGUAAAGUUAAUACCUUUGCUCAUUGACGUUACCCGCAGAAGAAGCACCGGCUAACUCCGUGCCAGCAGCCGCGGUAAUACGGAGGGUGC
rnacentral:rRNA from 1 species